UACAGAGGUCUCAAGCGUUGUUCGGAUUCAUUGGGCGUAAAGGGUGCGUAGGCGGCGGGGUAAGUCGGGUGUGAAAUCUCAGGGCUCAACCCUGAAACUGCACUUGAUACUGCUCUGCUUGAGGACUGGAGAGGAGACUGGAAUUCACGGUGUAGCAGUGAAAUGCGUAGAUAUCGUGAGGAAGACCAGUGGCGAAGGCGGGUCUCUGGACAGUUCCUGACGCUGAGGCGCGAAGGCCAGGGGGAGCAAACGGGAU
rnacentral:rRNA from 1 species